rnacentral:rRNA from 1 species
AGAGUUUGAUCCUGGCUCAGGGUGAACGCUGGCGGCGCGCUUAAUGCAUGCAAGUCGAGCGUGAUCGUGGCUUCGGCCACAAUGAUAAAGCGGCAGACGGCUGAGUAACGCGUGAGUAAUCUGCCCUCCGGUGGGGUAUAACCUGGGGAAACUGAGGAUAAUCCCGCAUACGACCUGCAUCCCUUGGGAUGCAGAUGAAAGGCUUCGGUCGCCGGAGGAGGAGCUCGCGUCCUAUCAGGUUGUUGGUGGGGUAAUGGCCCACCAAGCCGAUGACGGGUAGCUGGUCUGAGAGGAUGACCAGCCAGAGGGGGACUGAGAACGGCCCCCACUCCUACGGGAGGCAGCAGCAGGGAAUCUUGGGCAAUGGGCGAAAGCCUGACCCAGCGACGUCGCGUGGGGGACGAAGGCCUUAGGGUUGUAAACCCCUUUUCCGAGGGAAGAUACAGGACGGUACCUCGGGAAUAAGCCCCGGCUAACUACGUGCCAGCAGCCGCGGUAAUACGUAGGGGGCAAGCGUUACCCGGAAUCACUGGGCGUAAAGUGCGCGUAGGCGGUUGGAUAAGUCUCUUGUGAAAGCUCCCGGCUCAACUGGGAGAGGUCAAGGGAUACUAUUUGACUAGAGGACAGCAGAGGUAAGCAGAAUUCCCGGUGUAGCGGUGGAAUGCGUAGAUAUCGGGAGGAACACCAGUGGCGAAAGCGGCUUACUGGGCUGUAUCUGACGCUGAGGCGCGAGGGCGUGGGGAGCAAACUGGAUUAGAUACCCAGGUAGUCCACGCCCUAAACGAUGGAUACUAGGUAUGGGGGGUAUUGACCCCCUCCGUGCCGUAGCUAACGCGUUAAGUAUCCCGCCUGGGGACUACGGCCGCAAGGCUAAAACUCAAAGGAAUUGACGGGGGCCCGCACAAGCGGUGGAGCGUGUGGUUUAAUUCGAUGCUAAGCGAAGAACCUUACCUGGGCUUGACAUGUUGGUAGUAGGAACCCGAAAGGGUAACGACCUCGGGGUAACUCGGGGAGCCUUCACAGGUGCUGCAUGGCUGUCGUCAGCUCGUG